UUACAAUAAUUACAACAAUUAUUUUUAUACUAAAAGUAUUUUCACAAUUCGACAUAGAGCCAUUAGGGCCUUUUAUUCUAAAAAAUAAUAAUGACGGGGUUGUCGUUGGAUGGGCGUACCCGGAAGUUUACGAAAGAAACGCGUGGACUUUGUAAACAAAUGUGAAUUAAUAUUUACGUUGAACAAAUAGCAAUUUGUGAAAAAAGGAUGUAACGCUGCGUUUUCAGUACGUAUCUUUGUUGUUUUUAAUAGCCUGAAGUCAACUUAUGAACGCUUCCAAACUUAGUUAAAAAGCAGCGGUGUCUGUGCUUGUCAUUAAAUCGAUGGAGGCGCAGAAUGACAUGGAAGUGGUUCGUGAGACACAGUCUGACGGACCGGGAGCAGAUGUGCAAUCCCAGACUCUCUCUUUUUCAGAGGUGUACCGCAGGAUUCAAGCAGGGGAGCAGGUUCCAGGACUUCACCAGCCGGAAAUCAAACCAUGCCAUGAAAUGCCCACCGUUUCCCAGAUGCCUCGAAUGCUAAAACCAUGGGAGAAAUGAUGGGUGUUGACGAAUUUUAAGAGAUAAGACUGGUCCAUAUGGUUCUGCUUCGCACGAGUCGUAAACGACUGCUGCCCAUGACUGUACUAGGACAACAAAAUAAAAUAAAGUGCGUGAAUAUGUAUGCAUUUAAUCCUAAGGAAGUGUGAUACAAAAGAAUAUGAUUGAUAAUAGUUAAACAAUGGGAAACAAAUUAUCGUUGAUCUGAACUUUAUGACAACUGCUUCCCUGUUGCUUCACGUCUGUGUGAAACAAACAUGCAAAAAAGGGAAGUUCACAUGCUUACAGUCUCAUAGCGUAUGAGAGGAAGUGAACAUCCCUUGUUGCUCAACUUGCAAUCAAAUGUGCUGUUCAGAAACAAAGACACAGCAAAACCAUACCUGGGGCCUCAUUUAUCAACAAUGCGUGGGCACAGAUAUGUGCGUAAGAAAACAUUGACGCAAAGUGUUGUAUUUACCAAUUUGUACUUGUACGUUGAAUUGUGUGUAAAUAUAAGCACACCUCUGAGCAUG